CGGGGUGUAGCGUAGCCCGGUAUCGCGCCUGCUUUGGGAGCAGGAGGCCGUCAGUUCGAAUCUGGCCACCCCGACAA
rnacentral:tRNA from 1 species